rnacentral:rRNA from 1 species
CCGGCACGGGUGAGUAACACGUAUGCAAUCCACCUGUAACAGGGGGAUAACCCGGAGAAUCCGGACUAAUACCCAUAAUAUGGGCGCUCCGCAUGGAGAGCCCAUUAAAGAGAGCAAUUUUGGUUACAGACGAGCAUGCGCUCCAUUAGCCAGUUGGCGGGGUAACGGCCCACCAAAGCGACGAUGGAUAGGGGUUCUGAGAGGAAGGUCCCCCACAUUGGAACUGAGACACGGUCCAA